UGCAUCAGCCAGCAGUCAGUUUAGCUGCUCUCACUGUGAUAACAUCUCAUUUGUUGUCUCUCCAGUCUCUUAUGCAGAGGAUUCAGUGACGAAGCUGCAGUAUUACACCGGGGACAGUGAGGGGGGAAGCGAUUCUGGAUCAGAACGAGAGGGAGCUUCCCCUGGGGCGUCUCAGUUGGAUUACGAUAACGUGGAGGAGCCUGCAUUGAAUGAUGAUCCCCAGACUCCAGACGACCAAGAGGGCGAUGCCUUGCCUGGAGAUGUCCCAGGGGAUGGUUAUGACGAUGUCAGAGAAGUUUCUGACCCUGAACAUGAUCCUGGUUCAGGGCAGUGUGCCCGGGAAGUUACUUGGGCCCCUCGGAUGAAUGACAAGAACAGGGAUUCACAGAGAGAUUGGAAUCUGCACUCCCUAAGAAGUGAAGGGGCCUCAGGGACUGAGAGAGACGGCCCAUUCCUGCCUCCUGGAGACCCGGGUUAUGAUGAUGUUGAAGCUGGCAUCCCUGAGACAUCAAUAUAA
rnacentral:lncRNA from 1 species